rnacentral:rRNA from 1 species
UACAGAGGUGCCAAGCGUUAGGCGGAAUCACUGGGCUUAAAGCGCGUGUAGGCGGGACGGCACGUCGGUCGCUGAAAUCCCCCGGCUCAACCGGGGAACGGGCGCCGAUACGACCGCCCUGGAGGGACGUAGGGGGACCUGGAACUUCCGGUGUAGCGGUGAAAUGCGCAGAUAUCAGGAGGAACACCGAUGGCGAAGGCAGGUCUCUGGGCCACUACUGACGCUGAGAAGCGAAAGCAUGGGGAGCGAACAGG